rnacentral:lncRNA from 1 species
CUUGGGUGAUGUGCCUCUUCUGCUAUUUAUACUGCUCUAGGUGGGCUAUGGCCGCUGUGGGCCUGCUUUAGGGUCCAAACGAAGGCCCAAUUGAGUCUUAACCGUGCUUAUCAUUUAAGUUGGGUUGUUUAUGCUUAAUUACGCGUUUAGCUUCGCCUGUUGUCGUCUAGUCGGUUUUGUCGUCUAUCCGGUCUAGUCGGCCUUACGGCCAUCUGGUAGUACAUAUGCCCCCCAG